rnacentral:rRNA from 1 species
GUGAGGAAUAUUGCGCAAUGGAGGCAACUCUGACGCAGCCAUGCCGCGUGCAGGAAGAAGGCGCUACGCGUUGUAAACUGCUUUUAACCGGGAAGAAACCCCAGGACGUGUCCUGGGUUGACGGUACCGGAGGAAUAAGCACCGGCUAACUUCGUGCCAGCAGCCGCGGUAAUACGACGGGUGCAAGCGUUAUCCGGAUUCAUUGGGUUUAAAGGGUGCGUAGGAGGAGCGUUAAGUCAGUGGUGAAAUCCUGCAGCUUAACUGUAGACUUGCCAUUGAUACUGGCGCUCUUGAGUGCGCUUGAAGUGGGCGGAAUGUGCCGUGUAGCGGUGAAAUGCUUAGAUAUGGCACAGAACACCAAUUGCGAAGGCAGCUCACUAAGGCGAUACUGACGCUGAGGCACGAAAGCGUGGGGAUCGAACAGGAUUAGAAACCCGAGUAGUCC